rnacentral:sRNA from 1 species
UGGUCAGGCUAGUCUCAAACUCCUGACCUCGUGAUCCACCCGCCUCGGCCUCCCAAAGUGCUGGGAUUACAGGCGUGAGCCACCACACUCAGCCUCCAAAUAUGAUUUCUUUAAGUUAACCUUUUACCAAAACUCCAGCCAGAGGUAACCUGUAGGUAUUAUGGUUUGAACUAGCAGAGGUCCUGAGACCAUCUAACUGUUGGGUCUAUUUCUUGGGGACAGCAGCUACCAAGGGGGUGCCAGCUGGAAACAGUGACACAGAGGGGGGCCAGCCUGGUCGGAAACGACGCUGGGGAGCCAGCACAGCCACCACACAGAAGAAACCUUCCAUCAGUAUCACCACUGAAUCACUAAAGAGCCUCAUCCCCGACAUCAAACCCCUGGCGGGGCAGGAGGCUGUUGUGGAUCUUCAUGCUGAUGACUCUCGCAUCUCUGAGGAUGAGACAGAGCGUAAUGGCGAUGAUGGGACCCAUGACAAGGGGCUGAAAAUAUGCCGGACAGUCACUCAGGUAGUACCUGCAGAGGGCCAGGAGAAUGGGCAGAGGGAAGAAGAGGAAGAAGAGAAGGAACCUGAAGCAGAACCUCCUGUACCUCCCCAGGUGUCAGUAGAGGUGGCCUUGCCCCCACCUGCAGAGCAUGAAGUAAAGAAAGUGACUUUAGGAGAUACCUUAACUCGACGUUCCAUUAGCCAGCAGAAGUCCGGAGUUUCCAUUACCAUCGAUGACCCAGUCCGAACUGCCCAGGUGCCCUCCCCACCCCGGGGCAAGAUUAGCAACAUUGUCCAUAUCUCCAAUUUGGUCCGUCCUUUCACUUUAGGCCAGCUAAAGGAGUUGUUGGGGCGCACAGGAACCUUGGUGGAAGAGGCCUUCUGGAUUGACAAGAUCAAAU